AUCAAGGAAAGACGGUGUCUGUGAAUAUGGGCUCAGCGUCGUCCCCGCCGCUGUCACUGCCACCCCUGGACACCGAGCCACUCCGGACCAGUCCCCUUUCGCAACAUAGCCUCCUGAGGGCCCUGCGAGGACUUGACACCAACAAGAGGAAGACAAAGUUAAGACCAACCGCAGGAGGACAGGCACGCGAGAGAAGCACGCUAGACCUGGAAGGGGAAGGAAAGGCGAGCCAGCUUGGAAGGACCCGGAGCCACUUCGUCCCCUUCUCAGGGGUCACAUCUGGGAGGGGCCGUGACUGUGUCUUGCCGAGCUGCCCCAGGCCAGUGCCUGGGAAAUCAUAUUAGGUGUUUCAUGAAUGAGAAACGAAUAAACACACGAUCUCAUUUGAACCUCGAUAAACCUAAUGAGGAGAUGAGGCUUCACUGCCAUCCGAGGUGUUUGCUUACUGGGGUCGGAGAAAACCACUCCUGUUCCAUUGUCUUUCUCCGGGUCCAUGGAAGCUGGCACUUUCCAGCCCCCGUGAGGUGACGCGGGGCCCUCAUUUGCUCUGGACAAAGAUGUGUGAGUGAACUUCACAAAGAAGGAAAGGCCUCGGGGCUUCCUCUGCUGCUGCAGCCCGUGCCAAGGCCCCUGCCGUGGGCCCACCUUGAGCCCCGCCCUCACUGACCUGCACGGGCCCGCAGCGCAAGCAAGGCAUGAGUGCCACGUGUGUCACAUCCAACAGGACCUGGCCCACCCACAGGGACGAAUGCGCACCCAACAGCAGCCUCCCCUGUUCUUGUCUACAGGAGCUCAGCAUCUGCCAGCUCCUCUCCAGAGGACCAGAUGCUUCGGGACAGGCUGGGUGUCUUCCAACACCAGGGGUGAAAAGGGGCGGUCUUAGCAGGUCACAGUCGCCUCAGUGCCCUCGGCCAUCCGUUCCUUAAGGAUGAGGCAUGAAAGCCAAGUCUGGCAAAGAGGGCGCUGGGGAAUUCUGCUGGGGACUGGGUGGGGCAUCUUUCCUCAAUUACAGACCUGGAGAUAAGAGCGCUUCCGUUUCAUGCUGGGGAGCCUCCCUGAGGAGGACGUGGUGCUGCUGGAACCAGCUUGUGGCCAAAAGAGCAGAGCCCAGCCCCUGAGGAGGGUGCCUGGGAAGACGAGGAGUCCUCCGAAGACUGUUUUUGUCGAGCUCUGUUGCUUGUACCGCGGAGCGUCCAAAGAGGUCAUCUCCAUUUUACGGAAGACGAAGACGACGUUCAAAGAGGGUAAACGCUUCCCCAAAGUCUCUGGGCUUUUGCGAGUAGACCUCAGGCCCGCUGACUCUGAGUCUGCCCUUGGCUCAGGGGGCGGUGACUAGCUUUUCCCUCCGUUGCCAACCCCGUGCAUUGGGGAUGGCGUCGGGGAGGGGGGUGCUGCAAAGUUUUUAAGAUCAUAUCUGGCAGGGAAAAAGGGUUUUGGUUGAUUAAUAAUUUCAUGAGUAAAAGACAGGGAAGCAGUCGACUUUUUCCCGCCAUCACUGCAGUAUGUCGUGUUAAUUCUGGAUUAAGUUUACCGGGGAGAAGUUGGGUAUGAAUUAUCAAUUGCUGACUAAGAAAUUACUCCCAAACUUAGCAGCUUAAAAACAAACCAAAGCCAGGCGUUCCCAUCGUAGCACAGCGGAAACAAAUCUGACUAGGAGCCGUGAGGUGGGGGGUUCGAUCCCCAUAUGCUGUGAGUGGGGCCCUGAAAUGACCAAAACACCCCCACAAAGCCAAUGUUUUCCAUGAGAUAAGGAGUCAUGGGUAUGGAUUAGCUCUGUGCGCUGCUGUCUCAGACUUUCUUUUUUUUAAUUUGUCUUUUUAGGGUCGCACCUGGGGCAUGUGAAAGUUCCCAGGCUAGUGGUUGAGUCGGAGCUACAGCUGCCAGCCUACACCACAGCCUCAGCCACAGCCACGCCAGACCUGAGCCACGUCUGUGGCCUACACCACAGCCACAGCCAUGCAGGAUCCUCACCCCUCGGAGAGAGGCCAGGGAUCGAAACCCGCAUCCUCCUGGACACAAGUCCGAUUUGCUUCUGCUGAGCCAGGACGGGAGCUCCUGUCCCAGACUUUCUAGCGGGGCUGCAGUCAGGCUCUCUUCUGGCCUGCAAACUAGCCUGUGCUCUGGGCUGGGGGCACCUGCUUCCAAGCUCCCCGCUGUGGUUGCUGGGAGGGUUCUGCGGCUCCUGGACUGUAAGACGCGGGGCCCCUGGUUUUCUCUACCUCCCUCUCAGGAUCUUGUGGCCUGGUUUUCAUCAGAGGGCCGGCUUUCCUUACGGUCAACGAGCAA
rnacentral:lncRNA from 1 species